rnacentral:rRNA from 1 species
GACGUAGGGCGCGAGCGUUGUCCGGAUUUAUUGGGCGUAAAGGGUGCGUAGGCGGCGCGGUAAGUCGGGUGUGAAAUCUCGGAGCUUAACUCCGAAACUGCAUUCGAUACUGCCGUGCUUGAGGACUGGAGAGGAGACUGGAAUUUACGGUGUAGCGGUGAAAUGCGUAGAUAUCGUGAAGGAAGACCAGUGGCGAAGGCGGGUCUCUGGACAGUUCCUGACGCUGAGGCACGAAGGUCAGGGGAGCAAACGGG